UCUGCCCUUGCUGCCUGCAAACCAGUGCUCACCUCUUGCGGUCCACCGACAACACGGACUUCUACCCUGCCGGACCGGUCGUCGUUGGAACCGUGCCAAUCCCGGAUUUAGUUCUCGGAGUUCCUUUGUUCGCUUCCAAGCUGCAAAAAACCUUUAUUCACAAACUCACCUCCCUGUCCUCUCUCAUCUGGGUCCAACUUGCAACCUGAAUCCUGACAGCAUAGUCUGGCCUGUCAUGGAUCCAGCGGAGAUGGAAACCCUUCGCCAAACUGUUACCGGACAGAUCAUGCUUUUGGAGCAAAACGACCAAGCCCUCACCCUGCUGAUUCAAAAGCCAUGAGGCCAAAGACUUAGGACUCAUGACUGGCGUACAUCUGGCGCGACACGUGGCGUAACUCUGCGCGGAGGCGGCUGAGACUUGGUGUUGAUCAUUUCUUGGACCAGCGCACCCCAACACAUCUAAAAGAGGGAAGUCUGUGCUGUUGCGGAUCACAGUGACGAAACCCACCCAACCUUCACUCCGCCGGGCUGCCAUCGUCUACAAAACUACCAACACCUGUCUAACCUGCCUCUGGCGCACAGUUGUACCGCCCACCAUACCGGAUUUACACAGUUCACAAAAAUAGGGCUCACUUUCUUUAACUUGGCACUGUGUCACCCUAUGGGGCAAAUUGCUCACAAGAACAUCUUUUGGAUGAAUCCAAGGAGGUGUAGCCUGGCGUGAAAGCUCUUCUUACAUACACUGAAUCCCUCUGUCCUCUUUGUCACUUGCAUGCCAGGUUGAGAAUGGGGUCGCAAGGGCAAGAUCUGUACACCCCUUCAACUGGGUGAGGCCAAUCAUGUGGGUUAGAAGGGCACCUCAGAGAUGACAAAGAGGUUAGAGGGCCCCUAGAAUGAGGCAGUGUGAUUGUCUGCAUGUUCCUCUGCUAUAAGAAAGGGCCAAGGGUCCCCAUCUGCCACGUGGUACUACCAGGGUGUGAUCAUUUAGGGGCGAAACACAGCUAGGCAGACAUACACACAAGAGGUGAGUAUGUGUCUCGUGUAUAUGUUCUUGUACAACCCAACAAACACACAUGCUUACAAAAUGACAUACACACAUGCUCGUGCAAGAUCUAUCCCAGAACCUCCUCUCCAGUGCCAGUGUUCAACAAUUCAACCCUCCAACCUUGGGGUGAAGCCCCUGCCAGUUCACCUGCCAGGACUGGACAAGCAGAGCACUUAGUGCCUCACGAAGGCCAAUCUCACCCCCGGCCCUCCACACCCACUGUGUUGGGGUCAAGGAGGCUUCACCCACGCUCGUGUUCGCUCUCUGCCAAGUAAUGCUAAUGAUGUCGCCCAUGUUGAAGACACGACAGCACG